rnacentral:rRNA from 1 species
GAUGCAUUGGCUUGUGGCCAAUGCAGUGCUGCAGGGAAGCCGUUAAGUUUGCCGCCUGGAAAGUACGUACGCAAGUAUGAAACUUAAAGGAAUUGGCGGGGGAGCACCACAAGGGGUGAAGCCUGCGGUUCAAUUGGAGUCAACGCCAGAAAUCUUACCCGGAGAGACAGCAGAAUGAAGGUCAAGCUGAAGACUUUACCAGACAAGCUGAGAGGUGGUGCAUGGCCGUCGCCAGCUCGUGCCGUGAGAUGUCCUGUUAAGUCAGGUAACGAGCGAGAUCCCUGCCUCUAGUUGCCACCAUUACUCUCAGGAGUAGUGGGGCGAAUUAGCGGGACCGCCGCAGUUAAUGCGGAGGAAGGAAGGGGCCACGGCAGGUCAGUAUGCCCCGAAACUCUGGGGCCACACGCGGGCCGCAAUGGUAGCGACAAUUGGUUUCGAAUCCGAAAGGAUGAGGUAAUCCACAAACGCUACCACAGUUAUGAUUGAGGGCUGCAACUCGCCCUCACGAAUAUGGAAUCCCUAGUAACUGCGUGUCAUUAUCGCGCGGUGAAUACGUCCCUGCUCCUU